UGGGGAAUAUUGCACAAUGGGGGAAACCCUGAUGCAGCGACGCCGCGUGAACGAAGAAGGUAUUCGUAUCGUAAAGUUCUGUCCUAUGGGAAGAUAAUGACAGUACCAUAGAAGAAAGCUCCGGCUAAAUACGUGCCAGCAGCCGCGGUAAUACGUAUGGAGCGAGCGUUGUCCGGAAUUAUUGGGCGUAAAGGGUACGCAGGCGGUUUAAUAAGUCGAAUGUUAAAGAUCGGGGCUCAACCCCGCAAAGCAUCGGAAACUGAUAAACUUGAGUAGUGGAGAGGAAAGUGGAAUUCCUAGUGUAGUGGUGAAAUACGUAGAUAUUAGGAGGAAUACCAGUAGCGAAGGCGACUUUCUGGACACAAACUGACGCUGAGGUACGAAAGCGUGGGGAGCAAACAGG
rnacentral:rRNA from 1 species